AAAAGCCCCACCCCUUCUAUUUUUCUCUCAAUCCUCUCUAACUCUCUCACCGGCGCCGCUCACAAAAUUCAUAGCAACCUAAUGGCCCGUCGUAGAUAUGCAUAAUCUCUCGCUCCGACCACCACCGAAGGUGGCCGAAAAACUCAAACUUAUCGCAAAUAGAAUCUAAAUGCUUUCGUUUUCCUUUCUAAACUCAUACCCGAGACCAAAACAACCAAACUAAACUCCUAAAGUCCCUAAAUCUCAACAAAAUCUUCGGUUUCAGAUCUCCGACGACCACCAGGCGACGGUUGCUAUCCGUCUUCAAUCGAGACCUUCUCCGAUGAACCCAGUUCCGACGAGGAACUCAACGGACUUUCUAAGUGAUUGGCGAGGUUUUUACGUGCAGACCUUCCACGCAUGAGUCUCCUUGUUCGGGAAAGUGAGGCAUUAAAUGCCUCGGAUUUGGCGAGAUUUGGUUCGGUGGCUUCACCUUGAUAGUGGCUUUGACGAUUGGCGCGGCUGGAAGUGAGAUGGACUUAGUCGGCGACGACUGGAAUAAAGCUUGGCGGCGGCAGUAAUUGUGAUGAUCUCUAUGAUGAGUGGUGGCUAACCCUAAAAUUAGGGAUAGAAUUGGACACAAAAAGUUAAGGUCGUGGGCUUCGUUUAUGUUAGAGGUAGCAAACGGGUUAUUUGAUUGGGUUCGGUUUGAGUUUUUUUAUUUAUAUUUAAUUCGAGUUAGGUAUGUUUAUUUUAGAUUUUGAUUUUAUUUGGGUCUAUUUUAAGUUUAGUCGGGUCAGGUAGAUCUUUCAUUUUAGAUUUUGAUUUAUUUGGGUUUAUAGUAAGUUGGGUCCACUUGGUGUAUUAGGUAAAGUCAAUAUCAAAUAGAUUGAUUUUUAGUCG